UACGUAGGGGGCAAGCGUUGUCCGGAAUCAUUGGGCGUAAAGCGCGUGUAGGCGGCCCGAUAAGUCCGCUGUGAAAGUCCAGGGCUCAACCCUGGAAUGCCGGUGGAUACUGUCGGGCUCGAGUCCGGAAGAGGAGUGUGGAAUUCCUGGUGUAGCGAUGGAAUGCGCAGAUAUCAGGAGGAACACCAAUGGCGAAGGCAGCACUCUGGUACGUGAUUGACGCUGAGACGCGAAAAGCGUGGGGAGCGAACAGG
rnacentral:rRNA from 1 species